AUUGAACGCUGGCGGCAGGCCUAACACAUGCAAGUCGAGCGGAUGAAGGGAGCUUGCUCCUGGUUUCAGCGGCGGACGGGGGAGUAAUGCCUAGGAAUCUGCCUGGCAGUGGGGGAUAACGUCCGGAAACGGGCGCUAAUACCGCAUACGUCCUGAGGGAGCAAGUGGGGGAUCUUCGGACCUCACGCUCUCAGAUGAGCCUAGGUCGGAGUAGCUAGUUGGUGGGGUAAGGGCCUACCAAGCCGACGAUCCGUAACUGGUCUGAGAGGAUGAUAGGUCACACUGGAACUGAGACACGGUCCAGACUCCUACGGGAGGCAGCAGUGGGGAAUAUUGGACAGUGGGCGAAAGCCUGAUCCAGCCAUGCCGCGUGUGUGAAGAAGGUCUUCGGAUUGUAAAGCACUUUAAGUUGGGAGGAAGGGCAGUAAGUUAAUACCUUGCUGUUUUGACGUUACCAACAGAAUAAGCACCGGCUAACUUCGUG
rnacentral:rRNA from 1 species